rfam:Daphnia pulex DAPPTscaffold_6_Cont445, whole genome shotgun sequence.
CAAACGGCCCUUUUCAGGGCCACCAAUUUAUCUUGAAAAAAGGAAU